CCUACGGGUGGCUGCAGUGAGGAAUAUUGGUCAAUGGGCGGGAGCCUGAACCAGCCAAGCCGCGUGAGGGAAGAAGGUACAGCGUAUCGUAAACCUCUUUUGUCAGGGAACAAAGGCGGGGACUAGUCCCCGGAUGAGGGUACCCUAAGAAAAAGCAUCGGCAGACUCCGUGCCAGCAGCCGCGGUAAUCGGGAGGAUGCGGGCGGUAUCCGGUUUUAUUGGGUUGAAAGGGUGCGCAGGGGGCCUGUUAAGUCAGGGGUAAAAGCCCGGGGCUAAACCCCGGCGAGCCGUUGAAACUGGGGGGCUGGAGUAGUGGAGAGGCAGACGGAAGGCGCGGUGUAGCGGUGAAAGGCUUAGAUA
rnacentral:rRNA from 1 species